GAUGAACGCUGGCGGCGUGCCUAAUACAUGCAAGUCGAGCGAACAGACGAGGCUCUUGCUCCUCGCACGUUAGCGGCGGACGGGUGUGAAACACGUGGAUAACCUACCUAUAAGACGGGUAUCACUUCGGGACUCCGGAGCUAAUACCGGAGAAUCUACUGAACCGUGGGGUGCAAUAGAGAAAGACGGCGUUGUCGGCGGUAGGCGAUGGAUCCGAGCCUUAUGAGCUGGUGGGUGAGGUAGCGGGCUACCAAGGGUACGACGGGUAGCCGGCCUGAGAGGGUGAGCGGCCACAUUGGGACUGAGAUACGGCCCAGACUCCUACGGGAGGCAGCAGUGGGGAAUAAUGCACAAUGGGCGGAAGCCUGAUGCAGCAACGCCGCGUGCGGGAUGACGGCCUUCGGGUUGUAAACCGCUUUCGCCUGUGACGAAGCGUGAGUGACGGUAAUGGGUAAAGAAGCACCGGCUAACUACGU
rnacentral:rRNA from 1 species